rnacentral:tRNA from 1 species
UACUAAGUGGCCGAAUUAGGCGUAAGUCUUUUAAACUUAUUAUAGAGAUUGCUCUUAGUA